CCAGACUCCUACGGGAGGCAGCAGUGGGGGAUAUUGCACAAUGGGGGGAACCCUGAUGCAGCGACGCCGCGUGGGUGAAGAAGCGCCUCGGCGCGUAAAGCCCUGUCAGCAGGGAAGAAAAUGACGGUACCUGAAGAAGAAGCCCCGGCUAACUACGUGCCAGCAGCCGCGGUAAUACGUAGGGGGCAAGCGUUAUCCGGAUUUACUGGGUGUAAAGGGGGCGCAGACGGCGAUGCAAGCCAGGAGUGAAAGCCCGGGGCCCAACCCCGGGACUGCUCUUGGAACUGUGCUGCUAGAGUGUCGGAGAGGCAGGCGGAAUUCCUAGUGUAGCGGUGAAAUGCGUAGAUAUUAGGAGGAACACCAGUGGCGAAGGCGGCUUACUGGACGGCAACUGACGCUGAGGCUCGAAAGCGUGGGGAGCAAACAGGAUUAGAUACCCCGGUAGC
rnacentral:rRNA from 1 species